rnacentral:rRNA from 1 species
GCAAGGGGAGCGGCAGACGGGUGAGUAACGCGUGGGAAUCUACCCAUCUCUACGGAAUAACGCAUGGAAACGUGUGCUAAUACCGUAUACGUCCUUCGGGAGAAAGAUUUAUCGGAGAUGGAUGAGCCCGCGUUGGAUUAGCUAGUUGGUGGGGUAAAGGCCUACCAAGGCGACGAUCCAUAGCUGGUCUGAGAGGAUGAUCAGCCACACUGGGACUGAGACACGGCCCAGACUCCUACGGGAGGCAGCAGUGGGGAAUAUUGGACAAUGGGCGCAAGCCUGAUCCAGCCAUGCCGCGUGAGUGAUGAAGGCCCUAGGGUUGUAAAGCUCUUUCACCGGUGAAGAUAAUGACGGUAACCGGAGAAGAAGCCCCGGCUAACUUCGUGCCAGCAGCCGCGGUAAUACGAAGGGGGCUAGCGUUGUUCGGAUUUACUGGGCGUAAAGCGCACGUAGGCGGACUAUUAAGUCAGGGGUGAAAUCCCGGGGCUCAACCCCGGAACUGCCUUUGA